AUUGAACGCUGGCGGCAUGCCUUACACAUGCAAGUCGAACGGUAACGGGCCUUCGGGUGCCGACGAGUGGCGAACGGGUGAGUAAUGUAUCGGAACGUACCUUUCAGUGGGGGAUAACGUAGCGAAAGUUACGCUAAUACCGCAUAUUCUGCGAGCAGGAAAGCCGGGGAUCGCAAGACCUUGCGCUGAUUGAGCGGCCGAUAUCAGAUUAGCGAGUUGGUGCGGGAAAGGCUCACCAAGGCGACGAUCUGUAGCGGGUCUGAGAGGAUGAUCCGCCACACUGGAACUGAGACACGGUCCAGACUCCUACGGGAGGCAGCAGUGGGGAAUUUUGGACAAUGGGGGCAACCCUGAUCCAGCCAUGCCGCGUGAGUGAAGAAGGCCUUCGGGUUGUAAAGCUCUUUCGGCCGGGAAGAAAUCGUAUCAGCUAAUACCUGGUGCGGAUGACGGUACCGGCAUAAGAAGCACCGGCUAACUACGUGCCAGCCGCCGCAGUAAUAC
rnacentral:rRNA from 1 species